rnacentral:tRNA from 1 species
GCAGUAGUGAUUGAGUGGUAGAAUUCUCACCUUUCAAGUGGGACAUCCAGAUUCCAUUCCCAGCUAAUGCA